rnacentral:piRNA from 1 species
UAUGGGUGGAUCGCAGCUCUUCGC